AUGAGCAUAUUCCUGCAACAUUCAGCAUCUGAUUCUUGUUCAUCUGUGUGCUUCUGCUUUUGUGUCAAAACAGCUGGAAAGGAAACUACACCAAUGCACUGGGAUGUUUCCCCAACACGUGCCAGACGAUGUUCCUGCCUAUCACGGCAGCAUCACCAUAGACAGCCCGCCUCCUCAGAACCUCAACAAGUCAUGUAUUGAUCAUAAUGAUUAUGAAGAUGACAGCGAGCGGAACUAAGAUUAUAAAAAUACACCACCAUAAUGUUUAGAUGGUUUCUAAUUAUUAAUGAAUAUCAUGUUUGUUUGUUUUGUCUCUUUUUCUUUUUGUUUUGUCUUUUUUGGCCUCAUUUGUUAUUAACAAAGGUCACCAAUCUCACACAGUUUACAUUCUGUAUGUGUUUUCACCUGUACCAGCCACACUCUGACUGCAAUUAAGAAAACAAACUUUAGAAACUGUAGACUCAGUGACUUUAUCAAAUAUUGAAGGCAUUCAGGUAGAGCCGGCUUUUGAAUUACUAUGAACACUUACUAUAUUCUACCUGUACAAUAGCGAGCAGAACUAACACUGGAAAAAUGCACCACCACAAUCUUUGCAUGCUUUACAAUUAUUCAUCAAUAUAAUCUUUCCGUCUUUUCUUGCUUUUUUCUUUUGCUUUUUUGCCCUCACCAACAAAGCUCACCAAACUUACACAGGUAAACCUUAUUCAUGAUAUAACAAGGUAACAAGGUCAACAAUGAAACCGUAACAGUCUAAGAAGUGCAUUCUAAACUCCACUUGAGUCAGUUCUAUAAAUGUGCAAAGACUCAUUCAGGACUGUAAAAGGAGAACUGCAGAACCCCAAGUCUUCAUCAUUAAACCUCUGGUUGCUUCAUUUUGUUGUUUUAUAUCAGAUACUUUAAAGGUUUUAGUAAAGCUGCAUUGCCAUGGUGGGGCAAAGUGCUUUUGUGUUUGUGUGUGUCUGUGUGUGUGUGUGUGUGUGUGUGUGUAUGUGUGUGUGUGUGUGUGUGUGUGUGUGGUGAAUGCCUAUGAAAGGCCUUUUCUUAAAGAGCAAAGUGGGAUUUGAAUUUGAGUUACAGCAGACCGUCGCCACUUUGAAGUGGAACGCAGCCCUCCUACUGCAGACAACAAGAGGAAUUGAACGCGCCGUCCACCCUAGUCCACAGCAACCACCAUAGCAACCGCCUAGUGUAUGACCUUAAAAAACAUGUCCUUUCUUCACAACUGUCAAAAAUAUGAAAUAAUUUGCAAAGAUUAAAACUGUUACAGCUGCAGAGGGCUCUUUUGAAUCUGUUUAUAUAACUAAUAAUAUACAAUAUGAUGUAACCAU
rnacentral:lncRNA from 1 species